rnacentral:rRNA from 1 species
UACGUAGGGGGCGAGCGUUGUCCGGAUUUAUUGGGCGUAAAGAGCUCGUAGGCGGUUUGGCAAGUCGGGUGUGAAAACUCCGGCUCAACUCGGAGACGCCACUCGAUACUGCUAUGACUCGAGUCCGGUAGGGGAGUGCGGAAUUCCUGGUGUAGUGGUGAAAUGCGCAGAUAUCAGGAGGAACACCGGUGGCGAAGGCGGCAUCCUGGACCAAUAUUGACGCUGAGGAGCGAAAGCUAGGGGAGCAAACGGG